rnacentral:rRNA from 1 species
GAGUUUGAUCAUGGCUCAGAUUGAACGCUGGCGGCAUGCUUUACACAUGCAAGUCGAACGGCAGCACGGAGGAGAUUGCUCUUUUGGUGGCGAGUGGCGAACGGGUGAGUAAUACAUCGGAACGUACCGAGUAGUGGGGGAUAACUGUCCGAAAGGAUGGCUAAUACCGCAUAUUCUCUGAGGAGGAAAGCAGGGGACCUUCGGGCCUUGCGCUAUUUGAGCGGCCGAUGUCUGGUUAGCUAGUUGGUGGGGUAAAGGCCUACCAAGGCGACGAUCAGUAGCGGGUCUGAGAGGAUGAUCCGCCACACUGGGACUGAGACACGGCCCAGACUCCUACGGGAGGCAGCAGUGGGGAAUUUUGGACAAUGGGGGGAACCCUGAUCCAGCCAUGCCGCGUGUCUGAAGAAGGCCUUCGGGUUGUAAAGGACUUUUGUCAGGGAAGAAAAGCUUGAGGUUAAUACCCUUGAGUGAUGACG